UAACCAGUGUGGGGGAAUUUAGGUUUAGCUUUUCCAUUGGAAGCAAAUCCUUGCAGGGGGAGGUGGGGAUGGCCAAGGGCCAGCCUGGAAGGGCCCCUCAAGCUCAGCUGGUGUGUGGGAUGGAGCCCUGACGAUGCUCUGCAGGACUGAGGCGCUUCCAAGGAGACCUCCAUCCAUCCAGGCCUUGCUUUAGGAGUGUCGUCAUAUCCUGGUCUGGAGGCCGCCUCAGCACUCCUGGUACCUGAUGGGAUUCAAUGUGACCGGAGGAUUUUGGUUUGUCUGCAUCUGGAACAAACUUCCCUGGGGAAGGAGCUCUGUUCCUGACGUGGCAGGAGGUCUCCAAAGUGAACAUCUCCUGAGCUGCGGGGUUGAUUUUGGCCUGGGAUCUCUGCCUCUCCGUGGGCGCGCUCUGCAGCACCGCUGGAAAUCUUCUUCCAGAGGAUGGAUGUGGUUCAAGCAGAUGAUAAAUCGUGGUUUCCUCGCCUUGCCCUUAACCCAGUCACAAAGGGGAUUAUCAUCCGCAGGGUGAGAGGCGUCUGGAGUCCAGUCCCUGCCUUGCCUCGGGGUGAUUAUUUCCAAUCUCAGCGAAGCUCUUUCCUCCUUUGCCUCGUGGAGGAAAUUCAUUAUCUGGAGCUGGAGCGCUCGCACAGCUACAAACCAAUCCCACCUUCUCCGUGCCUGUGUCACCUGGAGCCGGGCCGGGGGAGCUGGUGAGAGCCUGGGCACUCACACGUCAGGGCUGUCCCCACUGGGCAAUGUUGCAUGAUUAAUAACAACCCCAGGUUAAUGGGGUUUUAAUGUUCCUCCAGCAGCGGAGGGAGGGGGUGGUGUCCUCAGCUCCGAGCAGGGGCUUUGAUCUUUGUUUUAGGGAGGGAUGGAGGUGUCUUUGUGCUUGGUGCUGGCUGUGUGUCUGUGGACACCACGGCAUGUGAGGGUUGAAGGGGACAGGCAGAGCCAGAUGUGCUCCAGGGUUGGGAACUGGAGUGUUCGUGGUGUGGGGGUGUGAUGGACACAAGUGUUAAAUACUGUCCCCAGUGAUCUCAUGGGGAUCCCAGUGCACAGUGGGGGCUGCACAGACCAUGGCAUGGCAGCAGGGCCCAUCAUUAUGCUAUUUCCAGAAAAGAGGGGCUCCCUGCACUUGUGGAUUUAGCAGGGAAAAGGCUUUCUGAAUUCUUCCUAGGAGGGGACGGACCCACUUUGUGCAUGAAGGGGCAUCAGGGCUGGGAAAAGGGGCCUGUGGUCCAUCCCUCUGUGCCCCUGGGGUCCUGGUCACAGACUGUGUCAUGGUCCCUGCUCCUGAGAACAGUCCUGCAGGAACUUGCUUGCAGGGGAUGGACACAGAAAAAUACACCCCCUUCCCCAUCCUUUCUUUGCCACAAGAAAGAAAAGCUGGCUGCCUGUUAAUUACAUGAACCUUCUCAUGGGCAAUUGAGCUGGCUGUGUGUGUGUAUUCAUGCUGCCCGCGAGUUCUUGUCUGGUUUGUGCUCACAGGUGACUGAAGUGAAGCCAAAUUUUGCAACAAAGCAGGGCACUGCUGGCCGUGUCCAGCUGCACCCAGGCCCUGUCCACACAGCAAGGCAGCAUCUCUUUCUCCCAGGGCAGAAAUAGUGCCACCUCUAUCCCAAACUCAUUUUUUUUUGUCCUGUGGUGACUUGUCCCCAUGGUCAAGAUGUUACAGUGCCCCAGAGCUGUUGGCAUCCCUCUGCUUGUUACUUCCUCUCCCUAAACUUUGGUAAGGGAGGGUCCUUCAGACUGAGCUUGGGCAGAAGGACAUGGUCCUUCCCUGGUGAGGAUGUGGCCCCUUCCCCUUACUGUAGGUGAAGGAGGCUGGUGCUUCGGGAAGGGGAUGGAUUAUAAUGUCAAGGGGGGGUAGGAAAGAGGGUACUUGGUGUGGGGAUCCUGCUGCUGCUCCACAUUUCCUGGAUCUACAAGUGGAGCCCAGCAAUGAGCCACCGUGCUGGCUGGGGACUGUCCUCUGGUGGCAGUGCCAGCUUUGGGACUGUCCUAUGUGCACAGAGGAGGAGCUGGAAGCCCAGGGAGAUGCUGGUUCCUGGCUCUGUGGGAUGUGCGUUUGAGAUGCUCCUCAAGGACCUUUCCCUCUCGCUGGAGCUUACUGGGAAUGUUGGCCAACAGGGCACCCAAAUCCCUCCUGCACAUUCCACAGGGCACAGGUAAGAGUGCUGGCCACCUCUGUGUGUCUAUCCUGGCACCAUUUUGGCCCAUGCCAACCAGCACCCUCCCAGUCAGUGUCUGGAAACAAAUGAGGGUCAGCCCAGGACACAUGAAGGGAUGUGCCACAGACUUCCAGGACUCUGCAACUCGUCUCCUUCCUGCCAGAUUGACUCCAGCCUCUCCGAUGCUGAGUUUCCAGGCCUUCAUUUCCAGCACUCAUUGCUAUUCAUCAGUGCAUCUGAAUAUUUUAAUCCUUGGGGAGUGGAGACUGUAGAACAGCAUCCCCCCCCUCUCCCAGCCACCUUCCCUUGCUUAUCUGCUGCAACCAGGGCCAAACUGUUCCCAGGCCUCGGUGGGUGAGACAAAUCGUAGAAAAAGCUUAAAGCAAGACCAGCAUCUCCCACCUUGUGCUUGGAGGGGGCUGGGGAAGAAGAGGAGGGAGGGGGUGAGGGAAGCAGCUUGUAAUUACAGAGUAAGAGGCAGCGAUAAAAUGAUAAUGGAAGAGUUCUGACCCGGCUGAGCCAGUUCUGCAAAGCUGUGAAAUAAAUUUAGCAAAAGAGCGAGGGCACGGGGGCUCCCAGGCUGGGUUACAGCUGAAAUGCUGGUUUCACAAACAACACGUAAAUUGGAUUGCAAACAUCUAAUUAACCUCUUUGCUUAUUUUUUGGUGGGAAAGGCGACAGAUUCCAGCUAAAGCUGACACUGUGGUGAGAUAUCCCUUUGCAGGAGAGAAUCUGGAGGAGAGGAGAGGAAAGCGAUUCGGUGAUUUCACCUGCUGGCUCCCUCCUUGCUGCCCAGGCACCAGGGAGAGGAAAAUCUCAAGCUCUUCUGGCUCCCCUGCCUUGUGGUAGAAGCUGUGUAUGAUGUCUGUGAAAACAGAGAGGAGAAGGUGCUGAUGGAGUUUCUUCCCGUGUUUCUUUGUUCUUCAUCUCACUUGGAGUUCCCCACUUCCAGGGGGACAGGGAUUGGGAUCUCCCAUGGCCUGAGCUGGCUCUCCUUGGCUGCUGCUUUGCUCUGUGCCGGGGCUACUGACUCUUUUGGAUUUGACCCAAUCUCUUUGGAGAGCAGAGGUUUAAUAUGAACACCCAGUUGUGUGGUCCCUGAGGAUUUGCACUGCUAACCUGGAGGAAGGUCCUCACAGGAGCCCAUGGAGCCUUCAGCUCUUUCCCUUUCUGAAAUAUUGUGAAAACUCUUCAAGAAUUAGGCUUGGUCAAUGAAAAGUCGCUGCUGUGAGGAGUGAGAUCUCCUUACCCAGGUUUGAUCAAACCCCCUGGGAGGGACCAGGGCAGGACAGAGACCUUUCCUUCACCACUGAUCCCUCAGAGCAGACAACAGCUCUGUGCAAGGUGACAGCAGAGGGAAUGUGCCUGGGCAGAGGGUCCUGUGGAAGCUGGGGAGAUGCCCUGGUUGUGCUCUGUGCCAGCAGGAUUGGGGCACCACAAGGAUGAGGCUGGAUGCACGUGCUGUGUUCUGUCCAGGGAGGUUCUACUUUGCUGCCUCAGAAAUGAGGGAAGCAGACGGUCACGUCACGUGGGAGCAAGCAGGAAAGCAAGAAACAGCCUGGUCUGGGAUAAAAGUGGCUCUGCUGGAGCAACUUUUCCAUGGGGGAUGCUUUUCCAACCUCUGGAUGGGAAGGUGAUGUUGCAGCUGGUGAGAUGAUGACACCACAUGGUGAGGCUGGUCUGGAAACAAGCAGCAGGUUUGGGUGGGUUUGGGCUCACUGCACAUGGGGGAAAGGGAAAAC